UACAGAGGGUGCGAGGGUUAAUCGGAUUUACUGGGCGUAAAGGGUGUGUAGGCGGAAAUGUAAGUUAGAUGUGAAAAGCCUGAGCUUAACUUAGGUCGUGCAUUUAAGACUGCAUAUCUAGAGUCAGUGAGAGGGAGGUAGAAUUCCAAGUGUAGCAGUGAAAUGCGUAGAGAUUUGGAGGAAUACCGAUGGCAUAGGCAGCCCCCUGGCAUAAGACUGACGCUGAGACACGAAAGCGUGGGAAGCAAACAGG
rnacentral:misc_RNA from 1 species